rnacentral:misc_RNA from 1 species
AUAUCGAUAGAGAAAUCUAAAGAAAGAUGUUUACAUUGAAUAAACAUAAAAUUCACGUUCUGUUUCCAAUUCCAGGACCCUAGGACUAGACGACUUUUGUACCUGGGUAGACAUCUGUUUCAGAUUUAGAGUAAAGACAAAUAUUCAGAGAGAAAGGGACUUAAUUCAUCAUACAUGGUUAUUAAUUCUAAAUCAAUCACCAUACCUUUUCUUAUAUUUUGUAAUCUUGUGUAGGCAGAAUGUCCUCUCCAGAAGUAGAAAAAUUUGAGAUAACAGAGGAUGACCUUGCUAAUGAGUUUUACCCAAGAGGAGGGAGGCGGCAAACAAAAAAUCAGGCCAUCUAUGGAAUGUGGGCAAACAGUGAUGAUGAAGACACCCCAGGAUUUGGAAGGGGUAGAAGAAAGAAAAAGGACUACACUGCACCCAUAGGAUUUGUCAGUGGAGGAAUCAAACAGGGCUCAAAGAUCAAGAAAGAAGGGGACGACGAUGACUCCUCUGAUUCAGACAAGGAUGAUAUCGUGGUACAGAUGCCUAAACCGUCUGCCGCAAAACCACCACAAAGUAGACCACAGGGGAGACAAGGGAAGCAGUUUGCUGGGUUCGGAAAAACUGAUGUUGGAUUUGGAGAGUGGGAAAGACACACCAGAGGUGUUGGCAAAAAGUUACUGGAAAAGAUGGGUUUCAAACCUGGAGAAGGAUUGGGAAAACAUGGUCAGGGUAUAACCACACCUGUGGAGGCAGUCAAGCGGAAGGGUAAAGCAGCUGUAGGGGCUUAUGGGACCGAGAGGUCAGAGAGGUCACUGGCUGAUUUCCCGGUCCACGAUUCGGAUGAGGAGGACGACAAGAAGUUCAAGGAGGAGCUCUCUCAGUGGAAAAAGAAACCAGAAAUAGGCAAGAAGAAACCAAAAUAUGUUUAUAAAACAGCACAGGAAAUUAUUGAAUCUGGAGUGGGAAAAAAGAAAGCCGCACCCUCCAAAGCUUCAAAAGUCAAGGUCAUAGAUAUGACAGGAAAAGAAAAAAGAGUCUUUUCAGGAUACCAUGCCAUAGCCACAAGACACAACAGACCUGACGAAGAGGAAGACAUUAUGGAACCUGAGCCGGGUCAAAAGAAAGCUUUUGAGAUGCCGGAGUUGAUGCACAACCUGAACAUUUUGGUGGACAUGGCAGAGGAGGAUAUCAUUACCAAUGACAGGAAGCUACGAUAUGAGAAAGAUCACAUCAUCAACAUGAAGCAUGAGAAAGAGCGACUGGAUACCAUAUGUGACCAAGAGGAGGCUCAGAUACAGAAACUGAAGAAAGUUCUGGACAUCGUGAGGAUGUGUGAGGAAAGAACACAGCCCGGGUGUGACAAUCCCAUGGAACUAGACGAGUGUGCAGCUAUAUUCAGGUCCUUGCAGAAUGAUUUCUACGAGGAGUAUGUUAUGUACGACCUCUCCUCUCUAGCCGUAGCAUUGGUGUUCCCAUUGAUGAGAAAGUAUUUCUCAUCUUGGGACCCUUUGAAGGACCCCAGCUAUGGACUACACACCAUUCAGCAGUGGAAGUCCUUACUGGAGGACUAUAACAAUCAGUACGCUGGAAACUCCACUGACAUGGACGUGUUUCAGAGGCUCCUGUGGGAUGUCUGGCUGCCCUACCUCAGGACCACCAUUCUGAAAUGGAAUGUGCGGGCUUGUCAUCCUCUUAUAGAAGUGUUAGAAACAUGGCUGCCAGUCCUGCCUUCGUGGAUCAUGGAGAACAUCUUGGAUCAGCUGGUGUUGCCACGGUUACUACAGGAAGUGGAGAAUUGGAAUCCACUAACAGACACCAUGCCAAUCCAUUCCUGGCUGCAUCCAUGGCUGCCUCUAAUGAAAGACAAACUGGAGCCUCUUUAUGCCCCCAUACGUCACAAGAUAGCCAAUGCUCUCACAAACUGGCAUCCCUCGGACGCCUCUGCCAAAGUCAUCCUACAGCCGUGGGUGAAGGUGUUCAAACCGGGUCAUUUGGAGGCUUUUCUGGUGAAAAACAUCCUCCCUAAGCUGGCCAUGUGUAUGCAGGAGUUUGUCAUCAAUCCACAUCAACAGAUAUUAGAUCCUUGGCACUGGGUUAUGGCAUGGUCGGAUAUCAUUCCUAUCAAAUACAUGGUGGACAUGCUGGAGAAGACGUUCUUUCCAAAAUGGCGGACUGUGUUGUGUACUUGGCUUAGUAACAUGCCUAAUUACGACGAGAUCACCAAGUGGUACCUAGGGUGGAAGUCUCUCUUCUCGGAAGAAUAUCUUUCCCAGCCAUCCAUCAGAGACAAUUUUAACAAAGCCCUGGAGAUAAUGAACCGUGCAGUGUCCAGUCAUAUACAGCCUGGUGUGAAGGAGAACAUGGCGUACUUUUCACAGAUGGAGCGGAGACAGAUGGUGGACACAUCGGGUCUCUCCACCACACGAUCCCCACCCAGACAGACUACUGGACCAGAGCCAACAUACACAAGAAGUGUUACAGCUGGCACCAAUUAUCAACCGACCUUCAAAGAUAUUAUUGAAAAAGCGGCUGAGGAAAAUGGUCUCCUGUUUAUGCCUAUUGCUGGGAAAACCCAAGAAGCUAAACAAGUGUAUCGCUAUGGAAAAGUUCAGAUUUAUUUGGACAGAAAUGUGAUUUUUGUGUUCGAGAAUCAGAUCUGGAUUCCAGUUUCAUUACAAAAUCUCAUCAUGAAGGCUAAGCCUUAACUCUUUGUUCACAACACAUAAGCCAUCUUCCAUCAAAUCAUGUACAUAAAAUAUUAACAAAUAAUAAAUUUAUGUCAUUU